AUGAUACAAGCUUGGAAAUAUAUCUAUUUUCUGCGAUUGUCGCAUAUGUAUCUGAUGGUGCGAUUGUCGCUGAUUGAUAUAUAUAUUGACUAUUUACACAUGGGAAUAAUAUUCAUCUGGUCCUGCAACAUUUUUACAAAAGACAAGGCAAGGGUGUGUCACUUUGCAGACAAAUUUGCUCCUGAUGCAAACAGCCAGGGAGGCUGA